UUGAUGGAUGAGAGAGGAUGCGUGGAGAAAUGGGUGGACCGGCUGCAAGAGCCAUGCAGAGCCGUGGAAAGAAUGGGAUCGGCUGCAGAUUCCAUGGAGGGCAGAUAGAGCAAGGCCGCUUAGCUGGUUCCAGGGAUGCCGGGGCUAGAUCCAUGAAGAAACAUCAUCGAAGGCGACCCGGUGGGCAUAAGUCUACGUUUGGCUCUUGGCUUGUGUCUUUCAUUGAGAUAAGAUUGUCAAAUCAAUUGCUCCGUCCAUUUAUGGCCAUGAAUAGUCUAACAGGCGAUAUCAGUCUCCUCCUCCUGGGUGAUCCAGGCACUGCAAAAUCCCAAUUUCUAAAGUAAGGACAGAAUCAAUCACUUUUCAUCAUUUGAGAUUGCACCACUAAUUUUCCAUCUUUUAGGUAUGUGGAGAAAACAGGACACCGAGCAGUAUAUACAACUGGAAAAGGAGCCUCUGCUGUUAGUCUCACUGUAGCAGUUCACAAGGAUCCAGUAGCACGGGAAUAGACACUUGAGGGAGGUGCACUGGUUCUUGCUGAUAGGGGCAUAUGCCUUAUUGAUGAAUUUGACAAGAUGAACGAUCAAGAUAGCCAUGGAGCAACAGAGUAUCAGAAUAUCAAAGGCAGGAAUCAUCACAUCUCUUCAAGCUCGAUGCAGUGUUAUUGCUCCAGCAAAUCCAAUAGGCGGAAGUUUAUCUCCCUCGCUUGUGGGUAGUGUGAGGACACAAGGAGCAUAUUCUGCUGUGCCUCCUCCAGUUCAGGAAUUCAGAUGCCAAUGACGCUCCAUGGGAAGCUCAGCUUCGGCAUGAGAGGUGAGCUCUCACCUGCUGUUGUUCUGAACUAUUGACAUUUGCAUGCAGCUCCAAGUUCUCAGUUAGAGCAGAUUUAUCAGAACAAAUAAGCCUGGCAUUUGUAAGCCUUACAGAAGACAUCCAAAAAAGCUCAUAUGACUGUGAAGGCUAAAAUAUCUCCAGGGAAGUGUAGAAAAUUAUUGUUAGCUUGAUGGUUCAUGUCCUUCCGAGACAUCCAUUUGUAUGCCUGUAAUUUGGUCCAUAACCCUUCUAAUGGCAUGAUGAUUGAUGUCAAAGAAUUUAUUUUGUCAUGCCUGGUGCAGGUGAAGGCCAGCGUAUACAUGUUUUUUUCCUUCACUUUAUGCCAAUCAAUCAGUAGGAAGUUGGAGUCUGGAGAUUGAGGGGAAGAUUGAAAAACAAAGAGUGAUAUGAAUAGUAUUUAUGCUAAUAAAGUGUUUUUGGAACCAAAUUAUGUAGUAUUUAUGAUUGACAGCCUAUUUUUAAGUGUUUGUGAUAGGCCAAUGAAUUUCAGUUGCAAGAAACUAUGUGUUGGCCAACAUGUCAAAGACAGAAUUGAUCAAAUUGUACUGUACCGAAUAAUUAAUCUAAUCCAUGGGUGCUCGUCCAAUUUAAUCUUA